rnacentral:rRNA from 1 species
AGUGAACGCUGGCGGUAGGCCUAACACAUGCAAGUCGAACGGCAGCACAGUAAGAGCUUGCUCUUACGGGUGGCGAGUGGCGGACGGGUGAGGAAUACAUCGGAAUCUACUUUUUCGUGGGGGAUAACGUAGGGAAACUUACGCUAAUACCGCAUACGACCUACGGGUGAAAGCAGGGGAUCUUCGGACCUUGCGCGAUUGAAUGAGCCGAUGUCGGAUUAGCUAGUUGGCGGGGUAAAGGCCCACCAAGGCGACGAUCCGUAGCUGGUCUGAGAGGAUGAUCAGCCACACUGGAAAUGAGACACGGUCCAGACUCCUACGGGAGGCAGCAGUGGGGAAUAUUGGACAGUGGGCGCAAGCCUGAUCCAGCCAUACCGGGUGGGUGAAGAAGGCCUUCGGGUUGUAAAGCCCUUUUGUUGGGAAAGAAAAGCAGCAGGUUAAUACCCCGCUGUUCUGACGGUACCCAAAGAAUAAGCACCGGCUAACUUCGU